UGGAAUACUUGUUUAGUUCUUGCAUCAACUUGCAGAUACGGAGGUGGAAUGAGCUCAGCAAAAGCUGCAUUGGAGAGCGAUACAAAAGUGCUGGCUUUUGAACUGCACUUGCUUGCCACAAAGCAUCAGAUGUUUCAUCUGAUUCCAACACCUCAGGGAGCUUUUAUGUACUCAAUGACAUAUUCCGUCUCAACGUGCUCAUUACAAAGAUUCUAGGAUACACUUGGAGGAAUGAUAGCUCGGCCUUAUCAUCUGGUGCCCUCAAGAGUACUGGGAAGAAUGCCGACAAACUAAAAAAAUAG